rnacentral:sRNA from 1 species
AGCGGGGUGAGCCUGGUGGGGCUGACCGUGCAUAGUCAGUUAUAGACUGAACUCCUUGUUCUGCUCUUUCCUCCCUUCUCCCUACUGCACUCAACUCGUCUUUA